rnacentral:rRNA from 1 species
CUCUUAGUUCGUGGAGUGAUCUGUCUGCUUAAUUGCGUUUCAAAUUCUAUUGUUGAGUACCAGGUCCUAAGAGUUUCAAGCAAAUCUGUCUCUGAGUGUGAACUGUAUGUCUUCGGAUAUGCGACUAUCGCUCUAGACAACUAUGAUCUGCUUGUAGCCUCUGGUACUCUUUUGAACGCAACGGACGUGAUUGCAACCCCUUGUUGAGUUUGCUUCUCUUAGGAACUCUACGUCUGCUGAACCACCUACCUUAGCGGGUAGGUGGUGAGGUGGAUAAACUCGGGGGACUGCUGACUAUAACCAUUUCUCAAAACAGAGGAAGGUUGCGGCAAUAACAGGUCUGUGAUGCCCUCAGAUGUCCCGGGCUGCACACGUGCUACAAUGAGUAGCGCAGUGUGCACAUUUUGAAGAGUGAUAGGUGCUGGGGAUUGUAUAUUUCAUGGGCUCGUCCUGGUAACCAACCGCCCCCAGCAUCUAUCAACCUUCCCUUUACAGGGUGGGUAACCUCUUCGAAAUGCUGGUUUGAUUCUCUUAGUGUUUGUCAUUUUAUUCCUCGUCGCAGCUGCUCUAGGACAUAGUGAACACUGUAAAGUGAUUCCCGUCUUAGGCUUGUGACGCGUGCUUUUCCUGGUUGACUCAUC